UGUCUUCAGGGCAGGGUGAAAUUCCCGACCGGCGGUAAAGUCCGCGAGCCUGCGGCGCAGGCAUGAACCGGUUAGAUUCCGGUACCGACAGUACAGUCUGGAUGGAAGAAGAUG
rnacentral:ncRNA from 1 species